rnacentral:rRNA from 1 species
UACGUAGGGUGCGAGCGUUAAUCGGAAUUACUGGGCGUAAAGCGUGCGCAGGCGGUGAUGUAAGACAGUUGUGAAAUCCCCGGGCUCAACCUGGGAAUUGCAUCUGUGACUGCAUCGCUAGAGUACGGUAGAGGGGGAUGGAAUUCCGGCGUGGUAGCAGUGAAAUGCGUAGAUAUGCGGAGGAACACCGAUGGCGAAGGCAAUCCCCUGGACCUGUGACUCGACGUCUCCAUGCACGAAAGCGUGGGGAGCAAACAGG